UAGGGAAUCUUCUGCAAUGGACGCAAGUCUGACGGAGCAACGCCGCGUGAGUGAGGAAGGCCUUCGGGUCGUAAAGCUCUGUUGCCCUAGACGAACGCCUGAUGGAGUAACUGCCAUCAGGGUGACGGUAUAGGAGAAGAAAGCCCCGGCUAACUACGUGCCAGCAGCCGCGGUAAU
rnacentral:rRNA from 1 species